rnacentral:tRNA from 1 species
GCCCCCGUAGCUCAGUGGAUAGAGCGUCGGACUUCUAAUCCGUUGGUCGCAGGUUCGAAUCCUGCCGGGGGCGCC